AAGAUAGUAUAGUUCCCUUCACUGGUGAAAUAAUCACGUUUUGUCACUAUUUUUUUUCAUUAUUGGAUAAUUGUGUUUGAUAAUAUGUAUAAAUACUACUUUGUCCUCAAACCCUGAUUGAGUUUGUAAGACUAGAGCCUCCGACAACAUACUUAAACAUGGACACAGUCACCUGCGGUGGCUUCCGUACAUGGCUCAUUAUCUGUGUAAUAAUAUGGGCAAGCAGCUGCUAACCUAUGGAAUAAUAACAAACUCUUGGGCUAUAAGUUGGCUUUGUGGAUCAGUUUAAUGACCGUUACUAAGUGGGAUUCUGCUAUUCUUAUAGACAACUGUAAAUACCAUAACACCGCGCAGAUCCUAAUAGCACAUGACUAGGACCUACUUUUCUCUUAUACUGUUAAUAUAAAUGUAAAAAUAUUGUAAUAUAACAAUUUAUUAAAAAAUAGUUGCACAGUAUUAUUCUUUUAAUUUGGAAACUCACUUUGAUUGCCGUCAAUAAAAUUGUAUUUCACCCAGUUCUUUAUCAUUUCAUGCUAUAUAUGGGGAAUGAUGGUUACAAACUGCAUAUUGGAAAGCAGCAUGCACAUCCACAGGACUGAACACAUUGUCUCAGAAUGUGGAAUAAAAUAUUGCGAGCUAUAGCUCAAACAAAACUCAUAAAAUUAAACAGUUUUAAUGUUCUAGAUUCAAAAAUAAAUGAUGUCCUCAGUUGGCUUUAUGUAUUAUUGCAAGGACUGCCAUAGUUUCUAUCUUUUGUCUUCUCUUCAAUAUAAGUGCACUGAUGGGUUUUUACUGAUUUUACUUACCAGGAAUAUGCUCCAACUAUAUAACAUGUAUAUUUGUUUUAUAUCUUAAUGCAUAUGCUAAGUUAAAAUGAAUUUCAGGACAAGAAAACAAGUGUUUUUCGGAUACUGUUUGUUUUUAAAAUCUGUAGAAAUACCUUUGUAUGGAAGUGAAUAAAUCUGUUCAAAUAUUUGAAUGGCAUCUUGGAAAGAUGUAGGUGCUUAUAUAAAUAACCUAAAUGUAUUGUCUAAUGUGCCUAUUAUUUACUAAAAUAUACAGAAUUUUCAAUGAAA